rnacentral:rRNA from 1 species
UACGUAGGGGGCAAGCGUUGUCCGGAAUUAUUGGGCGUAAAGAGCGUGUAGGCGGUCCGGUAAGUCAGCUGUGAAAGUCAAGGGCUCAACCCUUGAAUGCCGGUUGAUACUGUCGGGCUAGAGUCCGGAAGAGGAGAGUGGAAUUCCUGGUGUAGCGGUGAAAUGCGCAGAUAUCAGGAAGAACACCCGUGGCGAAGGCGGCUCUCUGGGACGGUACUGACGCUGAGACGCGAAAGCGUGGGGAGCGAACAGG